rnacentral:rRNA from 1 species
UAGUUCUCGUUGAUCCUGCGAGAGGUUGCUGCUAUGAGGGUGCGACUUAGCCAUGCAAGUCAGGGAAGCAAUUCCCGGCGAAUAGCUCAGUAACACGUCGAUAACCUGCCCUUUGGUCAUGGAUAACCUCGGGAAACUGAGGACAAUACAUGGUAGGGAAUGGGCACUGGAACGUCCCAUUUCUGAAAGGUAACGCCAAAGGAUGGGUCGGCGGCCGAUUAGGUUGUUGGUGAGGUAAUGGCUCACCAAGCCGACGAUCGGUAGGGGCCGUGAGAGCGGUAGCCCCGAGAAGGGAACUGAGACACUGUCCCUAGCCCUAAGGGGUGCAGCAGGCGCGUAACCUUUACAAUGUGCGAAAGCGUGAUAAGGGUACCCUCAGUGCUUAUGCAAUGCAUAGGCUUUUGUCAAGGGUAAAAACCUUGGCGAAUAAGUGGUGGGUAAGACUGGUGCCAGCCGCCGCGGUAA